CAAAACAUGGAAACAAACUAAGUAUUUAAUAGGUGCUUAAAAAGGAUUCCUUAGGUCAGGUGGUGUUGAAGUACGUAAAAAAAAGGAAUGACUUCUGUGGGGUGAGGGUGGUCUUUCUUGCUCGUUUCUGUGAGGUUAGUCGAUCAUCGUUCGUUCGUCUCGUUUAUCUUUUUUUUUAGUUUGUGUCGUCGUAAGUUUCUAUCUUCUUUGUACCUAUAUAUUGACCGUUUUAGAUUACUAAAGUGUCCUUGUAACUCUCGAUGUCGGGUAUUUUACGUUAGUCUCUCGGUGAUCCCAUUAUAGUGACGAUCAACAUUUUUGACCUUCUUUGUAAGUUGGUCGUCUAUAGUUUAGUUUUCAUUUUACUUAUUCGUAUAACCAAGUUUAACUGAAUAAGUAUGGUUUGGUAUGGUCGUUGACAAAGGUGCUUUGGUUGUGUGUAGUAGUCCUGAUCUACCAGCUAGUUUGGUCUAUGUCAUCUGAAUUGUGCUUGUUCCGUGUCCUGAUUAUCGUCGUCCAGGUUGCAGUCCCGUUAAUGACUGGUGGUGCCUCCGCCUCGUGGUCCACCUCCCACCUGAGGAAGACCUACAACAUCAGUCGUUCUCACGCCGGUAGGAGGUCGACGAACGGCCGUUUCUACUCUGCGACGACCAGGCCUCCUUACGGGAGGAACAGGACCUAGAACCGGAAGUGCAACAGUUACCACAGCCUCCUAAGGUGAAGUUCACACUACCAGAACGGCCACUCCCAGAACUGCUUCUAGACGUACGGAGGGGAUUCCGCCUCCUGUUCCACUUCCCACCUGAGGAAGACCUACAACAUCAGUCGUUCCCAGGACGGUAGGAGCUCGACGAACGGUCGCUUCUACUCCGCGACGACCAGGCCGCCCUACGGGAGGAACAGGACCUAGAACCGGAAGUGCAACAGCUGCCACAGCCUCCUAAGGUGGAGUUCACACUACCAGAACGGCCACUCCCAGAACUGCUUCUAGACGUACGGAGGGGAUUCCGCCUCCUGUUCCACUUCCCACCUGAGGAAGACCUACAACAUCAGUCGUUCCCAGGACGGUAGGAGUUCGACGAACGGUCGCUUCUACUCUGCGACGACCAGGCCUCCCUACGGGAGGAACAGGACCUAGAACCGGAACUGCAACAGCUAACACAGUCUGCUGAGCUGGAGUUCCCACUACCAGAACGGACAGUUACAGAAG
rnacentral:rRNA from 1 species